CCAUGGCAUUUAGGACAAAACUCAAAGUCCUUCUCCUGGGCUGCCAGGCGUUCCAAUAGUUCUCCUAGUGAGGGCCAAUUGAACUAUCAACCAAGACUCAAAAGCAAGGGGUUAAAUGAGCUGAUGAUGCAUAUUUAGCACUUGGAACAGCAUGUGAACCAAAGUAAACGUGGUAGACUGAAAAACAUGGCCCUGCGUUUUCACAGCCUUAGAAAUGAGAUGUUGCAUCUCCUCCCAGGAAGUUACAGAACUCUGCACCUACAAGUGGGCAGCCCAGCCAGCUUGCUGCAGGAGAGGCCAUGCAAAGCACAGGUCAGCUGUCCAUGCUCAGGCCUCUCCCACCCAGACCAACUAGCCCCACGCAAUCCAGAAGACAACCACAGAUGCCAGAAGAACCACCCAGAUAGUCCCAGCACAAACUGCUGUAAAAUUACGAAUUAAACAAAGGUAUUGUUUUAAA